ACGGGUGAGUAAUAUAUCGGAACGUACCCAAGAGUGGGGGAUAACGUAGCGAAAGUUACGCUAAUACCGCAUACGAUCUAAGGAUGAAAGCAGGGGAUCGCAAGACCUUGUGCUCCUGGAGCGGCCGAUAUCUGAUUAGCUAGUUGGUGGGGUAAAGGCCCACCAAGGCAACGAUCAGUAGCUGGUCUGAGAGGACGACCAGCCACACUGGAACUGAGACACGGUCCAGACUCCUACGGGAGGCAGCAGUGGGGAAUUUUGGACAAUGGGGGCAACCCUGAUCCAGCAAUGCCGCGUGAGUGAAGAAGGCCUUCGGGUUGUAAAGCUCUUUUGUCAGGGAAGAAAAGGCUGUGGCUAAUAUCCGCGGCUCAUGACGGUACCUGAAGAAUAAGCACCGGCUAACUACGUGCCAGCAGCCGCGGUAAUACGUAGGGUGCAAGCGUUAAUCGGAAUUACUGGGCGUAAAGCGUGCGCAGGCGGUUUUGUAAGACUGUCGUGAAAUCCCCGGGCUCAACCUGGGAAUGGCGAUGGUGACUGCAAGGCUAGAGUUUGGCAGAGGGGGGUAGAAUUCCACGUGUAGCAGU
rnacentral:rRNA from 1 species